rnacentral:rRNA from 1 species
UACGAAGGGGGCUAGCGUUGCUCGGAAUCACUGGGCGUAAAGCGCACGUAGGCGGAUCGUUAAGUCAGGGGUGAAAUCCUGGAGCUCAACUCCAGAACUGCCUUUGAUACUGGCGAUCUUGAGUUCGGGAGAGGUGAGUGGAACUGCGAGUGUAGAGGUGAAAUUCGUAGAUAUUCGCAAGAACACCAGUGGCGAAGGCGGCUCACUGGCCCGGUACUGACGCUGAGGUGCGAAAGCGUGGGGAGCAAACAGG